GGCUUGGCUGGGGAGUUACCUGGCCUGCCCUCUAAGACGGGCAUUUCAUUGGAAAGUUUAGAAGGAAGAAGUGGGCAAGGGAGCCAGCAGAUAUCCAUGUCUCUUUUGUGUGUGUGUGUGUGUGUGUGUCUGUCUCUCAAUCACUUCACUCCUCCCCCUGAAGAAUUGCUCCGCCUGCAGACUGCGCAUCCCUGUAGGACCUUCUGCUUGCUCCCCAGCCCAUGAGCUCUUAGGAGUAAGCCACAGUCUUCAAAAUGAUCAUCAGCAGCAGUGAUAGAGCAUCCUGACGUUCAACCCUAUAAAAGCAAGAGCAGUUUCGUCAGAAGUCUCGACACUGCGUGUACUGGGGGCCAGGAGAUGCUCUACAGAGCAGCUCCUGACGGACGACGCACAGCCGGCAGGGAGGGGGAGACUCUUGGGGGCACACCCUAUUAGCUGCUCUCAGAGCUGCUGGGGAUCCCACAAGGAAGAGAGCAGAGAAGAGAGUGCCAGGAGCCGCCUUUUGUUACCCUUGAAACCUCUGCAGAGGUGGCGCUGCGUACCUGAGUCUCUGGCCAUCUAGAAACACAGCUACUGUUUCCAGAAGCCUCACCAGCUUCCUUCUGGUUCCUGGUCAGAGGGCCCCAGCCUCCCUCAGGCUUCAUGCUGUGUCCCUCUGCCACCUCCUUGCAAUCAAUUUUUAAAAAAUUUUUUAAAUUUAUGUUUAAUUGAAGGA
ensembl:lncRNA